rnacentral:lncRNA from 1 species
CGGUGGCACCGGCAGCUCCGGCUUCGGGAGGGGCUGCGGUGGCACCGGCAGCUCCGGCUUGGGCAACGGUGGCUGCUCCUCAGGUUUGGGGAGCGGCGGCAGGUCCGGCCUCGGUGGUAUCUCAGGCUUGGGCAACGGCGGCAGCUCCUGCAGCUGCCGCGCCGCGCUGCCGAUAGCACCGCUCGAGAGCAGCAACGCGAGGACCAAGGCAAGAGAGGACAUGGUGGUGGUCGACGUGGAAGCCAUUAUCGCUUAUCGACCAGGUCUGUUGUGCUGGAUAGGAUG